AAAGUGGUCACUCAGUCCCAUCCCUCCUCCCCUCCCAGUCCCUCCCUGUCCCUCCCUUCUCCUCCCCCUCCCCUUUUUCUCAGAAAAGGAGAGCUCCCUUUCCCAUCCACCCCAGCUCAUCACAUUGCAUCAGGACUGAGCGUGUCCUCUUCCCCUGUGGCCUGGCAAUCCUGCCAGGGGGAAGCGAUCAAAAAGCUGGCAAGUGACAGACACCAAACCCGGCAGAGACAGCGAGCUCAGCUCGGCGGAGGCCUGUAAUCCCAGUACUUAGGAAUCAGGACAGGAGAAUUGCUGCAAGCUUCAGAGCAGCCUGGUCUACAGAGUUCCACAACAUAUAUGGGAGUAAAGCAAUUCCUGACUCAGAAAGAAAGAAGAAGGAAGGAAAAAAGGAAGGUUCCUAUGGGAAUCAGCUGACAUUCUAUGGAGCAGAACUCCAAAAGCACCAGUAUUGUUGGGAUCAGUAAGCAGGCACUUCUAUGGCCAGCUCCAAGGGACCUGAUAGACUGGUUAUCAGGCAUUUGUGAAGACACCCUAACCACCUGGAAUUACCUGCGCAUGCCCUUGAUCAACCUAUAAGAGAAAUGGAACCCUCCCCUUCUUCUCUCUCUUCUUCCUCUUCCACUCCCUGCUUCUCUCUCUUUCUCUCUGUCUCUGUCUCUCUCUCUUCUUCCUCUUCCGCUCCCUGCUUCUCUCUCUCUUUCUCUCUCUCUAUCUCUUCUUCCACUUUCUGCUUCUCUCUCUCUUCUUCCUCUUCCACUCCCUGCUUCUCUCUCUCUUCUUCUGCUCCCUGCUUCUCUCUCUCUUUCUCUCUCUCUCUCUCUUCUUCUGCUCCCUGCUUCUCUCUCUCUCUCUCUUCUUCCUCUUCCGCUCCUUGAUUCUCUCUCUCUCUUCCUCUCUUCUCCUCUCUCUCCUCCUUUCUCUGUCUCUGCUCCCCUUUCCCCUAAUAAACCUCCCACAUGGAACCAA